GCUGGGUGUGGUGACACACACCUGUAAUCUCAGCAACUCUGGAGGCAGAGGCAGAAGGAUCAAAAGUUAAAGGACAGCCUCAGCAACUAGGCCAUAAGCAACUUAGUGAGACCCUGUCUCAA
rnacentral:sRNA from 1 species